ACAGGGAUUGCCCUAGUAACGGCGAGUGAAGCGGCAACAGCUCAAAUUUGAAAUCUGGCGUCUUUGGCGUCCGAGUUGUAAUUUGCAGAGGGCGCUUUGGCAUUGGCAGCGGUCCAAGUUCCUUGGAACAGGACGUCACAGAGGGUGAGAAUCCCGUACGUGGUCGCUAGCCUUUACCGUGUAAAGCCCCUUCGACGAGUCGAGUUGUUUGGGAAUGCAGCUCUAAAUGGGAGGUAAAUUUCUUCUAAAGCUAAAUACUGGCCAGAGACCGAUAGCGCACAAGUAGAGUGAUCGAAAGAUGAAAAGCACUUUGGAAAGAGAGUUAAAAAGCACGUGAAAUUGUUGAAAGGGAAGCGCUUGCAGCCAGACUUGCCUGUAGUUGCUCAUCCGGGUUUUUACCCGGUGCACUCUUCUAUAGGCAGGCCAGCAUCAGUUUGGGCGGUUGGAUAAAGGUCUCUGUCACGUACCUCCUCUCGGGGAGAUCUUAUAGGGGAGACGAAAUGCAACCAGCCUGGACUGAGGUCCGCGCAUCUGCUAGGAUGCUGGCGUAAUGGCUGUAAGCGGCCCGUCUUGAAACACGGACCAAGGAGUCUAACAUCUAUGCGAGUGUUUGGGUGUCAAGCCCGAGCGCGUAAUGAAAGUGAACGGAGGUGGGAACCUUUCGGGGUGCACCAUCGACCGAUCCUGAUGUCUUCGGAUGGAUUUGAGUAAGAGCAUAGCUGUUGGGACCCGAAAGAUGGUGAACUAUGCUUGAAUAGGGUGAAGCCAGAGGAAACUCUGGUGGAGGCUCGCAGCGGUUCUGACGUGCAAAUCGAUCGUCAAAUUUGGGCAUAGGGGCGAAAGACUAAUCGAACUAUCUAGUAGCUGGUUCCUGCCGAAGUUUCCCUCAGGAUAGCAGUAACGUUUUCAGUUUUAUGAGGUAAAGCGAAUGAUUAGAGGCCUGGGGGUUGAAACAACCUUCACCUAUUCUCAAACUUUAAAUAUGUAAGAAGUCCUUGUUACUUAAUUGAACGUGGACAGUUGAAUGUAUCGUUACUAGUGGGCCAUUUUUGGUAAGCAGAACUGGCGAUGCGGGAUGAACCGAACGCGGGGUUAAGGUGCCAGAAUAUACGCUCAUCAGACACCACAAAAGGUGUUAGUUCAUCUAGACAGCAGGACGGUGGCCAUGGAAGUCGGAAUCCGCUAAGGAGUGUGUAACAACUCACCUGCCGAAUGAACUAGCCCUGAAAAUGGAUGGCGCUCAAGCGUAUUACCCAUACCCCGCCGCUGGGGCAAGAUUUAAGCCCCAGCGAGUAGGCAGGCGUGGAGGUCCGUGACGAAGCCUUGG
rnacentral:rRNA from 1 species